rnacentral:lncRNA from 1 species
AUGAGUCUAUUGUUUUCAUUCAGGUCAAACUGCAAACGACCUCGGUUCAGUGGUUAUGAAAACGAGCCUCCGCUGAGCUCGAAGAAAUGUUUGUCCAGUCUCAAAACUCUGCUGGACAGAUAUCCCACCAACAGCUCCGACCGGGCCACACAGCAUGCCAGACUGAUGGCAUGUCGUGGUCACCUCUGCACACGUGAGGCCGGAAACCUGACGAGCGAUAAGCUCUUCUCUGAGCAGAUAUCAUCCUGGGCUGACACACAGAACUCUGUGAAGAAAGUGCUGGAGCACCUUGUGUACCUCGGAAAAGCCACCGGUGACAUUUUCCUCAAUGACGCGGUUGCCAAGAAGUUUUUGGAGUUCCAUCGUGACAUCACCGAGGAGUGCGGCGCGGAGGAGAAACAGCAUUCUUGGGCUGUUAUUGAGAAAGAGGAGGAGAUCGUCAUGUAUGGACCGUACUAUCCCAACUACAGCAAAGGAAUACACAGCGAAGACAUCAUUAUCCAACAGACGGAGGAGCUUCUGGAGUCGGAGGAAUUCUCCCAGCAGUGGAAGGUGUAUGUUUUCACCAUGAACAGCCCGUGUUUGGCCCGAAACACCGAGCCAUGCAUGAUCAACCUGGUUCAGAAAGCUCACGCGUGGUGGACUGCGUAUGGAGUCAAGACUCAUAUUGGUUUUGUGAGAUGCUGGGGCUUCAGAGGAACCAAAGAAACGCUGUUCAGGGACAUUGACUACGGCCACGUGGACUGUAUAAAUCAGACAGGAAACCAUGGCGACUAUGUAGAAGCAGCUAAAAAUAGAACUAAUCUAAAUCCUUUAUGUGAAAAUCUGAGGUUCGCUGUUAAACACCUCCUGACAUGUGCAGAUCUGAGUUUCCCCCUGAUGACCACUGUGCAGGAACAGGACUGGAAUAGCUACUUCAAAAAGAUGCAUAGCAUUUUUGAAUGCAAACCAGAGGGUGAGAAAAAAGUCUUUGCACAGAAGCUGGACGCCGCGAUCGAAGCUGCAAGAGCUCUGCUUUCAGCGAAAAGCAGGAGCUUUGACAAGCAUCUAGAAGGCGGGAAGGCGUUCCCGCUCCAUUCCACUUUUGCUCCACAAGUGUCUGAAGCCCUCCAGGACGAAAUGACACUCGCUUUUCAACAGUGUUGGAGGGAGAUGGUACAAGACAAAUAUGCAGAUUUCCUCAGGGGGAAGCUGACUGAACAGUUCAACCAGUGUGCCGUGCAGCUUUUUAUCAAGGAUAUCGUGAAGUUCACAGACAGGUACUUACACAUUGGAAGGAUAAAGUUUUCCAAAGAACACAUGGCUGCUUUUGAAGCAGAAUGA